rnacentral:rRNA from 1 species
GCUUACGGCCACACCGCCCUGGUUCAAGCCCGAUCUCGUUUGAUCUCGGAAGCUAAGAUAGGUUGGGCCUGGUUAGUACUUGGAUUGGGAGACCGCCUGGGAAUACCAGGUGCUGUAUGCU